UCAGUAAUUUAAGGACAUUAUUUUAGCAUCUUUACAGUGCUGAACAUUGAGGUCGUCUGCUGAAAAUGUGCAGCUAAACAAUACACCCAUAUGCUGUGACUCUGCACCAGGAACAAGUCUUCCAGAAUUUGUAUUUAACAAAGUCCAUUUCACUAUUGUGAUAUCAUGGAAAAAAAUUCAAUAAGAGUCUGGUACUGAGAAUACUGGCCUUGGCUUUAUU